rnacentral:rRNA from 1 species
GACGAACGCUGGCGGCGUGCUUAACACAUGCAAGUCGAACGGAAAGGCCCUGCUUUUGUGGGGUGCUCGAGUGGCGAACGGGUGAGUAACACGUGAGUAACCUGCCCUUGACUUUGGGAUAACUUCAGGAAACUGGGGCUAAUACCGGAUAGGAGCUCCUGCUGCAUGGUGGGGGUUGGAAAGUUUCCGCGGUUGGGGAUGGACUCGCGGCUUAUCAGCUUGUUGGUGGGGUAGUGGCUUACCAAGGCUUUGACGGGUAGCCGGCCUGAGAGGGUGACCGGCCACAUUGGGACUGAGAUACGGCCCAGACUCCUACGGGAGGCAGCAGUGGGGAAUAUUGCACAAUGGGCGGAAGCCUGAUGCAGCAACGCCGCGUGCGGGAUGACGGCCUUCGGGUUGUAAACCGCUUUCGCCUGUGACGAAGCGUGAGUGACGGUAAUGGGUAAAGAAGCACCGGCUAACUACGUG